GGAGUGGCCGACUCAUUCCUGAUCCUCUUGAUCUUAGGGCUCAACAAGCCCCUGUGCCUAAACCCGUAAAGCUUAAGCACCUGGUUAUCAGCAAAAUUAAAAGCCCUCUCCAUGCUGCUCAAGCACCUCUCCACCGGAUAAUCCCCAUAACUCCCACAAGGCUUGCAACCCACAAAAUGUGUCACAAACGGCCACCUCUCAUCCCCCAAUCCCGGAUGAUACUUCUCUAUCAUCUCCUCAUACCGAUCCACC
rnacentral:lncRNA from 1 species